rnacentral:tRNA from 1 species
GGGAUCGUGGUCUAGAUUGGUAUGAUUCUGCGUUUGGGACGCAGGGGUCGCAGGUUCAAAUCCUGCCGGUCCCA